GCCGUCUCCCCGUUUCUCCAGCAGGGGGAGCCGACGACCAGCGCCGGGCGCCGGGCGGCCCGGGAGGAUUCUGCACCGCGGGGGGCGCGGGCCGGAGCCGACGCAGCCCCGGGUGGGGGCGGAGAGGCACCUCCGGGGCCCGGGUGACCCGUUUGCCCCGCGGGGGACGGGCUCUCGGGACUGUCCAUCCUUCCCGCGCGGCCCUGGACGGGGCUCCGUGGUUCUGGCUGCGUCGCCGCUGCGUGCAGGGCUCCGCUGCCUGCGAGCCGGUGGCCCGGAGACGCGAGCUCGGUGCUCCCGCGGGCUCCAAAAGGGGCUGUCCUGAUCUUAAUUUUUCAGACUAAAUCAUACUGGUUAUGAUGGCAUCUCCUCUGGUUUGUGAGCAUCUCCUCUGCCUUUGCUAAACUAGGUGCUUGCCACGCCCGGCGGCUGCGCUGUUUCCUCCCCCUGGUCCCGCGGCGGGGGGUCCUCCCAGCGGCUCGCGUCAGCCCCCGCUGCUGCGUGGACACAGCUCGGUUGUCAAAGGGACAGAGGGAGGGAGGGAGGGACCAGACCAAUCCGUGCCCGAGUUUACUGGAUUUAUCACACAGAAAGCUUGAGUUUAGAGAACAAGCAGGGAACUGAGUAUAGUUCUAUUUGCUUCUUUUGAAAUCUGUUGCAUCUUGCUGCUAUUUUGCCGUUUAAGAAGAUACUGCUGCUUCUGCCAGAAGUUCAGCAGAUGAGUGAGAGAGAACAAAGACUGGCUGGAGCUCCAGUUCUGCUAUGUCAUUGCUAUGUGACCCUUCUGAGCUCCCAUUUCCUUGAUGGAGCUGACACUGAUUGGACCAUGGAGGUCCAUGAGGAUGAAAUAGGAACUUACAGGAAAUUCACAUCAGAGAAGGGAAGAGAGUAUUCUGCAGGAAGUCAAAGCACAUUGAAGUGACCAAGAUGAUAUCUUAGAGUCAUGUACUGAUAUGUAAGGGAAGAAAAAGCACUUUAAAGCAUGAGAGAUGUGUUUUAGAAUCCAAAAACCUUUCUAUUGGAGUUUUAAAUAUCGAAAUGAAGCCUCAAAAUGAUGGUUAAAUCUUCUCUGCAAGACAUCUGUGUAGAACUGAUUCUCACAACUGAUGUUGUGUCUUCAUCAGCAGGUGGGUACCCAGAUGCUCCUGAUGACCAGCCUUGCGACACUCUCAGGAAAUGAGAACAUUAUUCUAUGGUCAUAAGAUCAGUGAUUGCAAAGUGCUUUCUAGACAAUAAUGGGAACUAUAAGGUGAAAGAUAGGGUGAUCCAUGUCUGAGGAGUUGUGAUUUGUGUUUGGUGCCACCCACCAUGGAAAAGCUGGUCUCAGCCCUGCCUUUGCUUGGACCAACAAGAGCUGUAUAGUAUGCAGCAUCUUUAGGAGGAAGCACCACCAGCAGGUCACAGUCUACUUCAACCACCUGCCUGGUGCCUGCUUGGAUUGUUCCCAGGUCUGGGCAAGAGAAAUCCCUCCUAGAAGACAGGAAGGGCUUCAGGCAAUGCUUGGUGGUGGCUGUGCUACCUGUCCCUGAAGCAAAAUGGCUGGCAGUGGGAGCUAUGUAUAGACCUGUGUUUACUGUGUAGGUGAGGGAACUGUGGAGACCACGUGCAACUCUGAGUGUCUUUGCUUGUAUCAUUGGGUCAGUAUUUGUCUUCUCUAUGAUGAACAUAAACCUAAAAUCCAAAGAGCCUGAUAUGAUGUGACAAGGGUGCAUUUCUCUAUACUAAUGUGGCCACACAGAAACUUUAUUUUUCUAAUUUCUCCCUUUUAAGAACUCUGCAUAAACCCAGGUGGAGCAUCACUGGGUUGGUAAUCUAAGCUAAGGGUCCAUGGACUGUUACAGUAUUUGAGUUUCAUCAUAAGGUCUAAUUUAAAUAUGAAAAUAUGGAAAAUCAUGUAUGAAUAUGCACUGAAAUUCUAUACCUGGACUUAACAAAGAAAACAUAGUCUGUAUGGAAAAUAAUACUUUUUUUUUUUUUUUUUUUUUUUUUACAAAAUUAAAAGAAAUCCUUGGAUAUUUCCAGAUUCUGCUCCUAACAAGACCCUUUCCUUCUGAGCCUGCCACGAUGCCUCUCUAACCUUCGAGAAAGACCCAUUUGACCAGCUACUGGGAUUAGUGUAUAAAGACUUAAGACCAGGGCUAGGCUAGUGCUGACUUAAGUUCACCAUUUGUUCAUUUUGGUGCAUUGAGCAAUUGUUUGAUAUGCUAGUUUUCUCAUCUGUGAGACGGGAUUAUAUCAGAUUCAACCUCACAGUCUGUGGGGAGGGGAUUAUGAGAUAAAAUAUGUAAAAGAACCUAGCCCAGUGCCUGGUGUUUGGAAAUCUGUUUCUUAAUGUUCCAUGCAUAAGCCUGCCGCAGGGUUUUGGUCUCUUUUCUCUUCUGUCCCACAUAUUUGCAAAGCUCUCUCUCCUUUGUCCUUCAAGCUUUGACUCCAAUGUCACUUUCUCAAUGAGGCUUUCCCUUGCCACCUUACUUAAAUUGCAACACUCUCCCCUUGGAUGAUCCCUCUUUCUCAUUACCCACUUUAAUUUUCUCCUUGGUUCUUAUCAUCUUUUAACGACAGCAUUUAUUUCACUUGUUUAUUGUCUGUAUUCCCUACUACAACACAAGUCCUUUGAGGGCAAGGAGUUUUGUCAAUUCUUGCCUAUUUGAUCUCUUUCAUAACCCAUAGUGUAGACACAACACACAGUACGCACUCCAUAGUAUUAGUUGAAUGAAUAAAUGAAAUGAUACACAUCAGCUACUCUUAUACUAUCAGUGCCCCUUUUGACUUAUUGUGGUCACCUCUGUUGUGGUUGUCCUUUUCCAUUUCCUAUUUGUGUAUUUUCUUCCCCUUUGCUGAGUCAUGAGCUCCUAUUAUUUCAUUGUGUUCACGUAAUAUUUGACAGAAUCUCUUUCUCUGUAGACUCUAGCCCCCACAGAAUGAGAACCCAUACUUCUGGU
rnacentral:lncRNA from 1 species